rnacentral:rRNA from 1 species
AUACGUAGGGUGCAAGCGUUAAUCGGAAUUACUGGGCGUAAAGCGUGCGCAGGCGGUUUUGUAAGACAGUGGUGAAAUCCCCGGGCUCAACCUGGGAACUGCCAUUGUGACUGCAAGGCUGGAGUGCGGCAGAGGGGGAUGGAAUUCCGCGCGUAGCAGUGAAAUGCGUAGAUAUGCGGAGGAACACCGAUGGCGAAGGCAAUCCCCUGGGCCUGCACUGACGCUCAUGCACGAAAGCGUGGGGAGCAAACAGGAUUAGAUACCCUGGUAGUCCACGCCCUAAACGAUGUCAACUGGUUGUUGGGGAUUUAUUUUCUCAGUAACGAAGCUAACGCGUGAAGUUGACCGCCUGGGGAGUACGGCCGCAAGGUUAAAACUCAAAGGAAUUGACGGGG